AUGCUUGCUGUCCUCAUCUUGUUGCUGGGGAUGCGUUUUUUCCUUGGACACAUCCAAGCACAGUCAGUGUCCCAGGAUGAUGCCCAUGUCACCGUCUUCGAAGGAGGCUCAGUGGAGCUCAGAUGCAACUAUUCCUAUGGUGGAACUACUUACCUCUUCUGGUACAUGCAGCGCCAUGGUCACAGCCUUCAGUUGCUCCUCAAGUAUUAUUCCAGAGAACCCAUGGUUCAUGGCUUGAGUGGCUUUGAGGCUGAGUUUAGCAAGAGCGACUCUUCCUUCCACCUGAAGAAAGCCUCUGUGAACCUGAGCGACUCGUCUGUGUACUUUAGUGCUCUGGGUGCACAGUGUCUGGGGCUGCAGGGGGAGCUGAACACAAACCUGUAA